rnacentral:piRNA from 1 species
UAGAAAACUGUGUCCCUGAUUUUGCUGUG